UACGUAGGGUGCAAGCGUUGUCCGGAAUUAUUGGGCGUAAAGAGCUCGUAGGCGGUCUGUCGCGUCUGCUGUGAAAACUCAGGGCUUAACCCUGAGCUUGCAGUGGGUACGGGCAGACUAGAGUGCGGUAGGGGGAGACUGGAAUUCCUGGUGUAGCGGUGAAAUGCGCAGAUAUCAGGAGGAACACCGGUGGCGAAGGCGGGGUCUCUGGGCCGUAACUGACGCUGGGGGAGCGAAA
rnacentral:rRNA from 1 species